rfam:Picea glauca, whole genome shotgun sequence.
CCUUGAAUCUACACCCCUUAACCUUAUAAAUAAUCGACCCAUAACCCAUAACCUUUCUAAAGAUGCAAUGUGAUUUAUUCCCAUUGCUCGACAUGUCAAAGUGAAGAAAUUCAACCAAGAACGGAUAAACGACGAGAGUAACUAUGAAUAUAUUAAGAUAGCCAGAUGCCUCAUCAUCUAAUUAGUGAUGUGCAUGAAUGGAUAAUUAAUGAUAUUCCCCAUUGUCCCUAGCUACUAUAUUCUAGAGAAACCAUAUCCAAGGGAAUGGUCUUGGCAGAAUUAGCGGGGAAAGAAGACCCUCAUGUUGAUCUUGACUCUAGUCCUAACCCAUUCAUAGUUUGGGA